GACGAACGCUGGCGGCGUGCUUAACACAUGCAAGUCGAACGGAAAGGCCCCCUUGUGGGGUACUCGAGUGGCGAACGGGUGAGUAACACGUGAGUAACCUACCCUUGACUUUGGGAUAACUUCAGGAAACUGGGGCUAAUACCGGAUAGGAGCUCCUGCUGCAUGGUGGGGGUUGGAAAGAUUCGGCGGUUGGGGGUGGACUCGCGGCUUAUCAGCUUGUUGGUGGGGUAGUGGCUCACCAAGGCUUUGACGGGUAGCCGGCCUGAGAGGGUGACCGGCCACAUUGGGACUGAGAUACGGCCCAGACUCCUACGGGAGGCAGCAGUGGGGAAUAUUGCACAAUGGGCGGAAGCCUGAUGCAGCAACGCCGCGUGCGGGAUGACGGCCUUCGGGUUGUAAACCGCUUUCGCCUGUGACGAAGCGUGAGUGACGGUAAUGGGUAAAGAAGCACCGGCUAACUACGUG
rnacentral:rRNA from 1 species